rnacentral:rRNA from 1 species
UGAGGAAUAUUGGUCAAUGGGCGCAAGCCUGAACCAGCCAUCCCGCGUGCAGGAAGACGGCACUAUGGGUUGUAAACUGCUUUUCCAGGGGGAGAAUUUUUCUGUCGUGACAGGAAUUGACGGUACGCUGGGAAUAAGCAUCGGCUAACUCCGUGCCAGCAGCGGCGGUAAUACGGAGGAUGCGAGCGUUAUCCGGAUUUAUUGGGUUUAAAGGGUGCGUAGGCGGAUUGAUAAGUCAGUGGUGAAAACCUGCAGCUUAACUGUAGACGUGCCGUUGAUACUGUCAGUCUUGAGUGUGGUCAAGGUGGGCGGAAUGUGUAAUGUAGCGGUGAGAUGCUUAGAUAUUACACAGAACACCGAUUGCGAAGGCAGCUUACUGGGCCAUUACUGACGCUGAUGCACGAAAGCGUGGGGAUCGAACAG